CCUANGUGUGGCAGCAGUCGAGAAUUUUUCACAAUGGGCGAAAGCCUGAUGGAGCGACGCCGCGUGGGGGAUGAAUGGCUUCGGCCCGUAAACCCCUGUCAUUUGCGAACAAGUUGUUUCACCUAACACGUGAAGCAUUGAUAGUAGCGAAAGAGGAAGGGACGGCUAACUCUGUGCCAGCAGCCGCGGUAAUACAGAGGUCCCAAGCGUUGUUCGGAUUCACUGGGCGUAAAGGGUGCGUAGGUGGUCGGGUAAGUCUGACGUGAAAUCUCCAAGCUCAACUUGGAAAUGGCGUCGGAUACUAUUCGGCUCGAGGAAUGGAGGGGAGACUGGAAUUCUCGGUGUAGCAGUGAAAUGCGUAGAUAUCGAGAGGAACACCAGUGGCGAAGGCGAGUCUCUGGACAUUUCCUGACGCUGAGGCACGAAAGCCAGGGGAGCAAACGGGAUUAGAUACCCCUNUANUC
rnacentral:rRNA from 1 species